AACCCGUAGAUCCGAACUUGUGGUGGUAGUCUGCACAAGCUUGUGUCUACAGGUAUG
rnacentral:pre_miRNA from 1 species